AAGGAGUGAGCAAUAAACAUAAUAAACCUGGAACAGCAGCAGCUAAAGCCCAUUGACCCCAACUUAAAUCAAUUUUCAAGAUUGGUGCCAUCAUAGACAAUGCCAGCGCAUUAGGCGCCAUUGCCGUCAGGAACAUGUAACUGGUGGUUUUAGUCACCAUAUAAAUAUUGAUCAUCAGGUAAUGGCCAGCUUUGCGCGAACUUGUACCCGGUUCUGAACCCAAAGCACUGGCUACA
rnacentral:antisense_RNA from 1 species